UUCGGAUAGUUAAUUUAAACACUUAGGACGUGACCCUAAGAACUAGGGGGAACCCUUCCGAGCC
rnacentral:tRNA from 1 species